CGCACGCGCGGCCUCCGGUCGCCGCGUUUGUGACAGUCUCCCGUCCUCUCGUGGUCCAGCGCUGGCAGGGUGGAGACUGAACGAAAGACUGGGCUGGAAGCACCGCGAGUGACCCUGGGAAAGGCUGUGGAAGGGUCAGAGAGCACGGUUCUUUGCACAGUUAGGGUUGAACAAAAAGUGGACUCCUUGAUACCAGUUGGUAUGGAUUUGACAAUUAGCGAUUCACAGUUGAACAAACUUUACCUCUUAGCUGAGUAAUUCAAUCAAAGGAGAAUUUGUGUCCGGUGUGUUUGGGGAGGCUAAACUGAUGUGAGUUAAAAUUUUCUAAACACUAGGACAAGCUUUAAGACAAUCUUAAAACAACCGAUAUUAAAAAUGGCAAUUUAAAUCAGAA